rnacentral:tRNA from 1 species
GCCCAGGUGGUGAAAUUGGUAGACACGUAAGAUUCAGGUUCUUAUGCCGCGAGGUGUAGGGGUUCGAGUCCCCUCUUGGGCACCA